UAUACGGCCGGGGAUUAGUGGCGAACGGGUGAGUAACACGUGGGCAAUCUGCCCUGCACUCUGGGACAAGCCCUGGAAACGGGGUCUAAUACCGGAUACGACGCGUUCCCGCAUGGGAUACGCGUGGAAAGCUCCGGCGGUGCAGGAUGAGCCCGCGGCCUAUCAGCUUGUUGGUGGGGUGAUGGCCUACCAAGGCGACGACGGGUAGCCGGCCUGAGAGGGCGACCGGCCACACUGGGACUGAGACACGGCCCAGACUCCUACGGGAGGCAGCAGUGGGGAAUAUUGCACAAUGGGCGCAAGCCUGAUGCAGCGACGCCGCGUGAGGGAUGACGGCCUUCGGGUUGUAAACCUCUUUCAGCAGGGAAGAAGCGCAAGUGACGGUACCUGCAGAAGAAGCGCCGGCUAACUACGUGCCAGCAGCCGCGGUAAUACGUAGGGCGCAAGCGUUGUCCGGAAUUAUUGGGCGUAAAGAGCUCGUAGGCGGCUUGUCGCGUCGGAUGUGAAAGCCCGGGGCUUAACCCCGGGUCUGCAUUCGAUACGGGCAGGCUAGAGUUCGGUAGGGGAGAUCGGAAUUCCUGGUGUAGCGGUGAAAUGCGCAGAUAUCAGGAGGAACACCGGUGGCGAAGGCGGAUCUCUGGGCCGAUACUGACGCUGAGGAGCGAAAGCGUGGGGAGCGAACAGGAUUAGAUACCCUGGUAGUCCACGCCGUAAACGUUGGGAACUAGGUGUGGGCGACAUUCCACGUUGUCCGUGCCGCAGCUAACGCAUUAAGUUCCCCGCCUGGGGAGUACGGCCGCNAGGCUAAACUCAAGGAAUUGACGGGGGCCCGCACAAGCGGCGGAGCAUGUGGCUUAAUUCGACGC
rnacentral:rRNA from 1 species